AAAAAAAAGACAAUAGUUUGCCUAAUACGGCCCUUAAUCUGAUAAAGCAGAUAUCUCAUCCUAAAUCCCAGGUGCCGGGCCAACCCCAAACAAAGUCGCCGCCAUUGUCUUGUGUCCUUGUGUUCAUCUGACUAUCCGUCCCUCCUGUAUGGCGCGGCACCUUUUGAGGCAAGGAGGUAAGAAAACUGCCUCUGAUCCAAGCAGAGCAGGUCAGUGAGAAGGCGGGCAUCGCUUGGGGCUGUGGAUGUCUGCCUGUAGGUCUGCUGUAGGGCUUGUCACGAUUGGAAGCAAAGAAAGGAGGAGAAAAUUACUCCAGAUCAGUGCAGGUCCAACUUCAGUGACAGAUCUGGUGGCCUUGGAGUGGCUGAAGACCACCACCCUCCACCGGGCUGCACCCAGGCAUAGCCAUCCUUUCCUACUUUGAAACACCCUAGCCUGUAAUACCAGGUGUGAGUACUGCUCUCAGUGUUGGAAAGCUUCACAAUACAAUCGGAUCAGAUCCUUUGGAAAUACUCUCUGUUUCAAAUUCACUGUGGAGUACAGACUUAAUCAGUUGAUGGCUAUGGAAUUUUCCAACGUCAGCUAAAG